rnacentral:rRNA from 1 species
UACGUAGGUGGCAAGCGUUGUCCGGAAUUACUGGGUGUAAAGGGUGCGCAGGCGGGACUGUAAGUUGGAUGUGAAAUACCGAGGCUUAACCUCGGGGCUGCAUCCAAAACUGCGGUUCUUGAGUGAAGUAGAGGUAGGCGGAAUUCCGAGUGUAGCGGUGAAAUGCGUAGAUAUUCGGAGGAACACCAGUGGCGAAGGCGGCCUACUGGGCUUUAACUGACGCUGAGGCACGAAAGCAUGGGGAGCAAACAGG